rnacentral:rRNA from 1 species
UAAGUAAGCGGAGGAAAAGAAACUAAAUAGGAUUCCYUCAGUAAUGGCGAAUGAACAGGGAUGAGCUCAGUAUGGAAAUUGGGGCCUGUGGCCUUGAAUUGUAGUCUGGAGAUGUACCACCAACUGGGGCGCAGAUGUAAGCCUCUUGGAAAAGAGCAUCAAUGAGGGUGAGAGUCCCGCUUGGCAUCUGCAGUCCCCAGUGCACGGUGUACCUUCUAAGAGUCACGUUCCUCGGGAUUGGAGCGCAAAUCGGGUGGUAAGUUUCAUCUAAAGCUAAAUAUAGUUUCGAGACCGAUAGCAAACAAGUACCAUGAGGGAAAGGUGAAAAGGACUUUGAAAAGAGAGUUAAAAGUGCCUGAAAUUGCUGAAAGGGAAGCGAAUGGAACCAGCGUAACUUGGCGAGAUUGCUGCGUGUCAAUGUGAUUGCUUGCUGCUUCAACGUAAGUGUUGUAGUAAGUCUUGAACAGGACAUGCGCGGUGCUUCUUGCCUUGUGUGUCACCGUCAGUUCGCAACUGGGGAAAACUUCAGGGACAUGGUAGCCUGUCUCCGGGUGGGUGAACGUGUUUGCUGGAACUCAUUUGCGGAUUGCUUGGUGACUAAAUGGUUCCAUCUG